ensembl:lncRNA
GGUCACCAACGGUCAAGUUCUUUGUCCUCAGACUUGUGUGGUUGGUGUCCCCUCAUACCAGGGUUCCCAUCCCCUUGACGGCCCCGCACUGGGGAAGGCCUCGAGCUCGCAGCCCAGGCCCCGAGUCUCACGCUGCCCUGACCCUCCGCUGGCCAGAGGCAGGGCCUCACCCUGAUGCCCACAGGCCGCAGAGCCUCUGGGGCCACAGCGGUGAUGGAGGCAUCGAGCAGGCGCAGUGAAGUACACCCGCCAGCUCCCUCUCUAAGGGCUGGGACUCGCGACAAAGCAAAGAAAAGCAGUGCAGUCAGGCCCGCCGGCUCUGCAGCCGAGCGCCGUUGGGGACACCUCAGGCCUGACCGCCCCUCCCUCUCCCGAAGCCCCCGGUCCAGGACUCAGGUGGGUUUUCUGACUCACCCACCUCACCGUGUGGGGAGCGUGGUGACUGUGAUCAGUCAGGGGCCUGCUCCUUCUCGGCCAAGCUCCUGCCUGUUUGACAUGAGCGUUUUCCUCUCCUGGCUGGAAGCAGCUGAGAGGCUUGAUGAGAGCAAAGUUCCUGCCUUCCUCCCUCCGAGUAAUGACCCUGUGGAGUCUGAGCACGUUCCAGAAGGUUCCAGGAAGGAGGCAGUGAGCUGACUCUGGAGAAAACGCUCUUGGCCAGAAGCCAGCUUCAGGCCAGAUGGGUCCCUGAGGCACUGAGGCGGGUGUACCCAGGUCUCUGGGAGCUGUGAAAGCGCCCAUUUCUGCAUGAACUUGGGGCACACGCAGCCCAGGGGAAUGUGGAUCCUAAGUUUAUCUGUAAGGGGGUCUGGGGGACAUUGAUGGCUGGGGGUGGUUUCUCAUCUGUGUGACUGAUGGGAGAAAGGAGGGAGGCGGGCUGGGCUGGGAAGGAGCGGCUGCUCGUUGGUUUGGCUGGGGACCUGCUCCCACCUGGCUCCAUGGGAGCCUUGGAGCAAGGCAGCUACAGAGUUAGACUGUCCUGAGGCCAGGCCAACCGGCUGGGGGAGGCCCCCAAAUCCAACAUUGACCGUGGAGUUGGGGUACAACCUUGAUGAGAACAUUCAAGGUUCUGGGAGCCUACGAGUCUAGAAUGUGGUGGGGUCCCCAAGGCCCACAGUUUGCAGGAUCCUGUCUAAAGAAUGAAUCUAUAGGGCAGAUUGUGAAUGAGUACAGCCCCUCUUUAUAAUCAUUCAGAAUUUCAAACAGGACAUGAACCCAGUGGCCCAAGUGACCACCCAGGCUUCAGCAGGGAGUCAGCCCCCCUGCCCCCAGGGAUCCUGGUAUCACAGCUGUCGGCUCCCCAGAUGGGGCUCCUCUUACAGCCAGACUCUGUCCUCAUGGAACCACACUCUAGAGGCAGAGACCACGGGUCUGGAGACAGUAGAGGGAGGAGAAGGAUCAGGUGUGGAGGGCAAAGGAUGGUCUUCUGAGGUUGCCUUUGGGCAAAGCCAGGAGUCGAGUGGAUAUUAGGAGCAGAGACCCUGAUGGGGAGUGUGCCUGCUGGUGGAACAGCAAGGAGGCUAGAGGGCGGGAGGGUGAGGUGAGUGAUAACAGGUGGACAGUCAUGGGGCCACCUUAACGAGUACCACAGACAGGGGCUCAGAUGACAGGAAUUUAUCUUCUCACGGCCUGGAGGCUGGACAUCCAAGACCAUGGUAUGUACAGGGCUGGUUCCUCGUGAGGCCAUCCCUCUGUACCUGUCCAUGUCCUGACCUCCUUCUCAUAAGGACACACUCAUCUGGAGUCAAUACCCACCCUGGUGACCUCAUCUGACCUCAGUCGCCUCUUUCCACAGAGUCACACUCUGAAAUGCUGGGAGUCAGGAUGUCAACACAUGAAUUGGGGGGGACACAUUCAGCUGGUGGCAGCUGUUGGUGUCUAAGGAGUGUGCCCAGAGGUGUGCAGUAACCAAGCCUUAAUAAGAGAGAGAGGGUCUCUCCUGCCCUGGCAGGAAUUUUGAAAAUAAUUGAUAA